GAUGAAGAACGUAGCGAAAUGCGAUAAGUAAUGUGAAUUGCAGAAUUCAGUGAAUCAUCGAAUCUUUGAACGCACAUUGCGCCCAUUAGCAUUCUAGUGGGCAUGCCUGUUCGAGCGUCAUUUCAACCCUUAAGCCCUGUUGCUUAGCGUUGGGAGCCUACAGUACUGUAGCUCCCCAAAGUUAGUGGCGGAGUCGGUUUCACCCUCUAGACGUAGUAAUUUUUUCUCGUCUGUAGUUGAGCCGGUCCCCUGCCGUAAAACACCCAAUUUAUCAAGGUUGACCUCGGAUCAGGUAGGAAUACCCGCUGAACUUAAGCAUAUCAAUAAGCGGAGGA
rnacentral:misc_RNA from 1 species